rnacentral:misc_RNA from 1 species
UUUCUCCAAUACUCGCAUGUCAUGGGCCAAAAAUUCUGUCCUGGCAACUGCUGUUGAUGAUUUCUUUGACUUCGCUGGCUCUAUGGAAGAACUAUUAAACCUGAUUGAUUUGAUCGAAAGGUGGGAUCAGCAUUCAACCAUUGACUACAAGUCUAAAGAAGUUGAGAUACUCUUUGGUGCAAUUUAUGGCACCACUAAUGAACUUGCAGCUAAGGCUAGCAUUCAACAAGGAAGAUGCAUCAAAAGGCACCUAAUUGACAUUUGGAUAAGCUUUCUCAAGGCUAAUUUAAAAGAGGCAGA